rnacentral:rRNA from 1 species
GACCCGUCUUGAAACACGGCCAAGGAGUUUAUCGUGUGCGCAAGUCAUUGGGUGUUGAAAACCCAAAACCCAAAGGCGCAAUGAAAGUAAAGCAUCCGCAAGGGUGCGACGUGUGAUCCUGGCAAUCACGGUCGUCAGGAGCAACAUGGCCCCAUUCUGGCCGCUUGCGGCGGUGUGGAGGAAGAGCGUACGCGGUGAGACCCGAAAGAUGUGUUCUAUUCCUGAGCAGGAUGAAGUCAGAGGAAACUCUGG